rnacentral:snRNA from 1 species
GGACGUGAGGGUGAUCUGGUUGUGACAUCUGUCACCUCAGAUUGCCAGGUUUGAUUUUGCUGGUCUGGCUGGCUGGGGGUGGUGUCCCCUUCCUCCCUUCCUCCUCCAUGUGUGUUCCUCCUGAAGCUGGGUUUGGUGAAGAUGAUGACCUAUCCCAAUGGAAGGGGGCUGUUCUUAGGUCAAGGGUAUAUAAGUAGCUGUGAUCCCCUGCUAGAGCCUCCAAAUAAGCCCUCAAGCUCUAAAGGAGGCAGCCAACAUGGUCUUUGCAGCUACACUUGGUUAAAGUUACUCUCCAGC